rnacentral:lncRNA from 1 species
CUUUCAACUUGCCCACCACAGCAGUGAAAAGACUCCUGUUGUCAUAUGUAUUUUCUGCCUGUUGGUCCACGGGCACAAGUGCCAGUGUUGUUUAUUAAUAGAAGCUGC